GCCAGGUGGAGUGGUGCACGCCUGUAAUCCCAGCAGCUUGGGAGGCUGAGAGAGGAGAAUCAUGAGUUCAAAGCCAGCCUCAGCAACUGUGAGGCAUUAAGCAACUCAGUGAGACCCUGUCUCUA
rnacentral:sRNA from 1 species